rnacentral:rRNA from 1 species
AUGCUGGUAGCGGCCUCCCACGCCCCAGCAUUGUCACCUCCUGGAACCGCUGGUUCUCCUCGUCACCGAGCCGUGCGCCUUCUCCUCGCCCUGCCCCCAUGUCCAGUGUGUGCGCCAUCGCCUACUUGCUGCCGCCCGCCUGAGGUCCUUUCGUCUCGCUGGGUUUUGGAUUGGCAAGAACGACAUGCCAAGACCCGUACCCGGACCGUCAAGCACCUUCUCCAAGGAGUUUGCCAAGUACCAUGA